rnacentral:rRNA from 1 species
UACGAAGGGGGCUAGCGUUGCUCGGAAUCACUGGGCGUAAAGCGCACGUAGGCGGAUUGCUAAGUCAGGGGUGAAAUCCUGGAGCUCAACUCCAGAACUGCCUUUGAUACUGGCGACCUUGAGUCCGGGAGAGGUGAGUGGAACUGCGAGUGUAGAGGUGAAAUUCGUAGAUAUUCACAAGAACACCAGUGGCGAAGGCGGCUCACUGGCCCGGUACUGACGCUGAGGUGCGAAAGCGUGGGGAGCAAACAGG